GAAAUGACUACAAAAGGAUGGGUUUUUUUAUUGUAUUUUUAGUUCUGCCUUCUUCGAACGCCAGACAAUGGACAAAGUGGUUGGAGAUGGGGAUGGUGACAGACCAGCCAGCCGAACUCAAAUUGGAUUAGAUAUCAUGUGCCACCUGGUUGCUGAAGCUCGACAGGACCUUUAUGGACAAAAAAUCCUGUUCAAGAUAGUUCUGUCUGGAAUUCCAUACCACCUCCAGAGAAUGGAAAAUGUCUUCAAAUUCUGAUGUGCCAGCAGCCUGAAGUGGUCAAACAAUUUGAAACUGGAUGCAUCACAGAAUCCCAUAUUUCAAGAGAAUGCAGAUGUUAGUCACCCCUGUCAAACUUGUUUGUGUGAAUAAUACAAAAUGUGACAUUUACAGCAAAUAUGUAAUAAUUGAGCAACGUAUAUACAAUUGCAAAACUCUGUUCUGUUAAUUUUGUGCCAUAUUUAGCAUUUAAAACCAGAUACUUUCAGUUUUUGCUGGUUUGUUCGGUUUCUUUUAUUCAUGAUGACACAGUUCGGUGUAUAGUAGUUAUGGUGUUUUAACUGUCAAUGAAUCCAAGAUCACUGUAUGUUGUUGAACUGAUAUAUAUAUGUUAAACAUUGAAGAUCCAGCUGUCAGUACAGAAAACAUUGAUUGUGCUUUAGAGAACACUGAAUUUUAUCAACAUAAUUUGACACUGUACAUAUUGCAAGCAUUUUUUCAUAUCUAUAUAAAUUAAUAGUAGAUAACUUUAGCCUUAUUUUGUGCAUAUUAACAUAUGUGAAUAAUUUAAUAUCCUCAUGAUGUCAUUCUGUAUAAAUUAUAUAAUAUAAUCAUUUUAAUUGUUUCAAUUAUUUUCAUAUAUAAAUGGUUUUGGAACUGAAAUUUGGUCUUGCUCUAUUGGCUGGUACACUCAACAAAUAUAAAAAAAUACAUGAAAUAGUGCUUUAAUAGUGAGCUCAGCUAACAGUUUUUCACUGGGUUCUUAUUUGGGUGUGUUCCAACAAUAUCACUGACUUGAUUACUUUUAUUGGAUAUUCUAUAUAGGUGCUAAAUUUAGAUUAAUUUUUAAUUUUAGCUCUGUUGAAUGUUGAUUGUAAUUGCAAUUUAUCAUUUCUUUUUAGAUCACCCUGUGAGUUAAACAUUAUGUGAGGGUUAGAAAUCAUUUGCUUGUAAUUACACCUUGAUAAGUUUAAUCUUUAAUACACUGGGUCUUGAAAGUCCCAUGAUAUGAACAAUUGGUUUUGACUAUUUUCAUGCUGCAUUUAGAAUAUACCUCAUAAGAGGUCAUUACAUAUUGGGCCUUUAAAAGUUAGAAAAUUUUAACAUUAAUUUAUUCAUACAAUUUUAUUUCCCACCAGAUGUAAAAAACAACAACUUUUUAUCAAAAAGGUCACUGUUGGUGAUCUGUAAAAAAUACAUGUGUUGCUGCAUAUUUAACUGUCACAGGUCUUUUGGUUUAUACCUGAUUUUAGCAAAGCUGUUUACAAUAUUCAUUAAUUGAAAUUUAGAUAAUUUUGAUCAUUAGACAUGAUGUUUGUCAGAUUUGUCAUUGCAAACACAAAUUAUUUUAAAGUUUAUUGAAAGCAUCGUUAAGAUAAUUCUGUAAUUAAAGCAGAAUUGUAUUUGCCCUUAAAAUCUAAACAACACAUUUGUUCAUAAUUAACAUUUUGCAACUUUUUUGGCGGGGGUGUGGUGUAUGUUUUUGUAACAAACAAAUGAGAAUAUAUUCUGUAUUCUCACUGAGAUAUUUUGCAGACAAUUUUCCAGAGCUGCUUGGCUACAUAUUGUUCAUAUACAAUCAUAAUUAUUAGUAAUUGAUUAAAUGUUUUGCCAUGUUUUACCAUCAUAUUUAAAUAGAUUUUUGCCCAUUCAAUUCUAGUUAAAAUUGUAAUUACCCCUGCUUGUAAUAUACUUCAGUGCAACAUUAUUAUUGAUAUGUGAUCAUUUUUAGCUUGACUAUUCGAUGAAUAAGGAGAGCUAUCCUAGUCACCAGAGUGUCAGGGUCAGCAUUACCACUUAUGUUAAAGUUUGCGUACCACCUCAAAUAUUUCAAAUUCAAUUUAUGUAAAUAGCUCAGCACAUCAUGUAUUGCAUUGAAAUCUAAUAUAACAGUGAUCAAUGCAUGUUUCUCCAAAACUUUUCAGUCUAUACACCGAAAAGCGGCGGAAUAGUCGAGCGAGCUGUCUCUGUGACAGCUCUUGUUUUUAUUUAUUUUCUGUUUGUAACAUAUUCCUCAAAUGCGUUUGUGUACUUGAUCUCAAAUGCAUAGUAGCUUUAUUUAAGUUAAUUAGGAAGAAUAACUCUAAACUUCAUAUAAAAUAUAAAGUAAUGCAUUAUAUAUAAUGUAUACACUAUUAUUGAAGA